UGUGUGAUCACAAUGCUUCAAUGUGACAUCACAGUGCUCAAAUGAGUUACCACAAUGCUCCAAUGUGAUAUUAUCAUGCUUAUUGUGCGAUCACAAUG
rnacentral:miRNA from 1 species